rnacentral:rRNA from 1 species
GACGAACGCUGGCGGCGUGCUUACACAUGCAAGUCGAGCGAUGAGAUCCCUUCGGGGAUGGAUUAGCGGCGAACGGGUGAGGAACACGUGAAGAAUCUGCCUUCAACUCUGGGAUAACACCGGGAAACCGGUGCUAAUACCGGAUAUGAGCCUUGAUCGCAUGAUCGGGGCUGGAAAGUUUUUCGGUUGAAGAUGACUUCGCGGCCUAUCAGCUAGUUGGUGAGGUAAUGGCUCACCAAGGCGACGACGGGUAGCCGGCCUGAGAGGGCGACCGGCCACACUGGGACUGAGACACGGCCCAGACUCCUACGGGAGGCAGCAGUGGGGAAUAUUGGGCAAUGGACGAAAGUCUGACCCAGCGACGCCGCGUGCGGGAUGAAGGCCUUCGGGUUGUAAACCGCUUUCAGCAGGGAAGAAGCGAAAGUGACGGUACCUGCAGAAGAAGCACCGGCUAACUAUGUGCCAGCAGCCGCGGUAAUACAUAGGGUGCAAGCGUUGUCCGGAAUUAUUGGGCGUAAAGAGCUCGUAGGUGGUUAGUUACGUCGGAUGUGAAAAUCUAGGGCUCAACCCUAGACCUGCAUCCGAUACGGGCUAGCUUGAGUUUGGUAGGGGAGACUGGAAUUCCUGGUGUAGCGGUGGAAUGCGCAGAUAUCAGGAGGAACGCCAAUGGCGAAGGCAGGUCUCUGGGCCAAUACUGACACUGAGGAGCGAAAGUGUGGGGAGCGAACAGGAUUAGAUACCCUGGUAGUCCACACAGUAAACGAUGGGCACUAGUUGUGGGAACCUUCCACGGUUUCUGCGACGCAGCUAACGCAUUAAGUGCCCCGCCUGGGGAGUACGAUCGCAAGAUUA